AUGGAACAAUGUAGGCAAGGGAAGUCGGCAAAACGGAUCCGUAACUUCGGGAAAAGGAUUGGCUCUGAGGACUGGGCUCGGGGGUCCCGGCCCCGAACCCGUCUGCUGUCGGCGGAUUGCUCGAGCUGCUCACGCGGCGAGAGCGGGUCGCCGCGUGCCGGCCGGGGGACGGACCGGGAAUCGCCCCUUCGGGGGCUUUCCCCGAGCAUGAAACAGUCGACUCAGAACUGGUACGGACAAGGGGAAUCCGACUGUUUAAUUAAAACAAAGCAUUGCGAUGGUCCUCGCGGAUGCUGA
rnacentral:rRNA from 1 species